CCUUGGAGAGAAGAACGGAACGGAAGAAGCCGAAGUGAAUGCCUAUUAUAGGUAGUACGCGAUGCGUGACUAAUAGCUGUAGCCGUAAAAAAGAAUCAUGCGAGAUGCUAGGAAUUCAUUCAAAGAAGUCGAACGCAUUUUGCGCCGUGAUAGCGGUUUAAUAACAGGCCAAUCCAAGGCC